AGUCUUUGCAAUGAUCAGCUGUAACUGAAAAUGGCACUUGCUUCUGUUUCUAGCACAGCCAAGGACAGGAGGCCGGCUGCUUGCUGUUACACCGCCCACCACCACCCCCACCCCCCAAGGUCUCUAGCCUACCUUGGUAAGCAAGGGGCUUGGUGGGAAAAGUCACUUAACUUUUAUAAAGUGGUAACUACCGUGGGGCUUUGUGUAAUUAAACCUAAAUGCUGUUUACCCCCACAGAGCUCCGAUGAGGUCUGCCUCAUCCAUCACCUUUCUCCUGGUAUUGGGCCUGCCUCGUGGUUUCAAAUAUGGCCGCCAUGCUGUAAGAACAGGAAAGAAAGCCCUGUUUCUAAAGAGAAACAGAAUUCAGUACAAGCAAUUUUGUCCCAAAAGGGUUUGGGGAGCUGAUUCAGUGGAUAACGGGCUUGCUGUGCAAACAUGAAGAUCUGAACUUGGAUCCUGAGCAUCUGCAUAGAAACUGGUUGUGGUGACUGAUGCCUGUGACCCCAGCACUAGGAAGCAGGGGCAGGAAGAUUCCUGGGGAUUGCCUGACCAAGCCAGUCUCACCAACUUUGCAAGGCCUGGUUCAGUGAGAAUCUCUGUCUCAUAAUAUAAUAAACAUGCUAGUCAUGGUAGCAUAUGCAUUUAAUCCCAGCCUGUGGGAAGCAGAGGCAGGUGGAUCUCUAUGAGUUCAAGGGGAGCCUGAUCUAUAUAACAAGUUCCAGGCUAGUCAGGGCUAUAUAGUGAGAUCCUGUCUUUAAAAAUUGGAUAGAAAUGGUUGCUGUGCAAGUGUGAAGACCUGAGUGAGGACCCCAGAGAGACAGAAAGGUCAAAAAUAUAGUGUGGACAUCUGUAAUCUGUUUUAAAAUGUUAUUUAGUUAUUAUAUAUACAAUAUUCUGUCUGCAUGUAUGCCUGCACACCAAUAGAGGAUACCAGAUCUCAUUAUAGAUGGUUGUGAGCCACCAUGUGGUUUCUGGGGAUUGAACUCAGGACGUCUAGAAGAGCAGACAGUGCUCUCAACCUCUGAGUCAUUUCUCCAGCCGGAACAUCUGUAAUCUUAGUGCUUCUAUGGACAGAUAGGAGCAGAGACAUGAGAGUCCUGUGGGAGUACUUGGGCCUGAUUCAGAACAACAACAAGAAACAAACAAACAACAAAAUGAGAUGCUGUCUUCAACAAAGUGGAAGGUGAGGACCAAUACCCAAGGUUUUCACCUCAUCACCUAUGUUCUGAGCACAUGUGUGCCUGCACUUACACACCUGAGCAUGCAUCCAUGCAUGCAGCACAUCCUGACAGAAGGUGAGAACUCAUAAGCUGGAGCUUCACCGAGGAAGACACCCAGUAUCAACUUCUGGCCACUGCACAUACAUGUGCAUAUACACAC
rnacentral:lncRNA from 1 species